CCUACGGGAGGCAGCAGUGGGGAAUAUUGCACAAUGGGCGAAAGCCUGAUGCAGCGACGCCGCGUGAGGGAUGACGGCCUUCGGGUUGUAAACCUCUUUCAGCAGGGAAGAAGCGCAAGUGACGGUACCUGCAGAAGAAGCACCGGCUAACUACGUGCCAGCAGCCGCGGUAAUACGUAGGGUGCGAGCGUUGUCCGGAAUUAUUGGGCGUAAAGAGCUCGUAGGCGGUCUGUCACGUCGGAUGUGAAAGCCCGGGGCUUAACCCCGGGUCUGCAUUCGAUACGGGCAGACUAGAGUGUGGUAGGGGAGAUCGGAAUUCCUGGUGUAGCGGUGAAAUGCGCAGAUAUCAGGAGGAACACCGGUGGCGAAGGCGGAUCUCUGGGCCAUUACUGCCGCUGAGGAGCGAAAGCGUGGGGAGCGAACAGGAUUAGAUACCCUGGUAGUCCACGCCGUAAACGUUGGGAACUAGGUGUUGGCGACAUUCCACGUCGUCGGUGCCGCAGCUAACGCAUUAAGUUCCCCGCCUGGGGAGUCGGCCGCAAGGCUAAAACUUAAAUGAAUUGACGGCUGGAGACGNGCGACGACGACGACGAGGGAGAGG
rnacentral:rRNA from 1 species